rnacentral:rRNA from 1 species
UACGUAGGUGGCAAGCGUUGUCCGGAUUUACUGGGUGUAAAGGGCGUGCAGCCGGAGAGACAAGUCAGAUGUGAAAUCCACGGGCUCAACCCGUGAACUGCAUUUGAAACUGUUUCCCUUGAGUGUCGGAGAGGUAAUCGGAAUUCCCUGUGUAGCGGUGAAAUGCGUAGAUAUAAGGAAGAACACCAGUGGCGAAGGCGGAUUACUGGACGAUAACUGACGGUGAGGCGCGAAAGCGUGGGGAGCAAACAGG